rnacentral:rRNA from 1 species
GACGAACGCUGUCGGCGUGCUUAACACAUGCAAGUCGAACGGAAAGGCCCUGCUUUUGUGGGGUGCUCGAGUGGCGAACGGGUGAGUAACACGUGAGUAACCUGCCCUUGACUUUGGGAUAACUUCAGGAAACUGGGGCUAAUACCGGAUAGGAGCUCCUGCUGCAUGGUGGGGGAUGGAAAGUUUCGGCGGUUGGGGAUGGACUCGCGGCUUAUCAGCUUGUUGGUGGGGUAGUGGCUUACCAAGGCUUUGACGGGUAGCCGGCCUGAGAGGGUGACCGGCCACAUUGGGACUGAGAUACGGCCCAGACUCCUACGGGAGGCAGCAGUGGGGAAUAUUGCACAAUGGGCGGAAGCCUGAUGCAGCAACGCCGCGUGCGGGAUGACGGCCUUCGGGUUGUAAACCGCUUUCGCCUGUGACGAAGCGUGAGUGACGGUAAUGGGUAAAGAAGCACCGGCUAACUACGUGCCAGCAGCCGCGGUGAUACGUAGGGUGCGAGCGUUGUCCGGAUUUAUUGGGCGUAAAGGGCUCGUAGGUGGUUGAUCGCGUCGGAAGUGUAAUCUUGGGGCUUAACCCUGAGCGUGCUUUCGAUACGGGUUGACUUGAGGAAGGUAGGGGAGAAUGGAAUUCCUGGUGGAGCGGUGGAAUGCGCAGAUAUCAGGAGGAACACCAGUGGCGAAGGCGGUUCUCUGGGCCUUUCCUGACGCUGAGGAGCGAAAGCGUGGGGAGCGAACAGGCUUAGAUACCCUGGUAGUCCACGCUGUAAACGGUGGGUACUAGGUGUGGGGUCCAUUCCACGGGUUCCGUGCCGUAGCUAACGCUUUAAGUACCCCGCCUGGGGAGUACGGCCGCAAGGCUAAAACUCAAAGGAAUUGACGGGGCCCCGCACAAGCGGCGGAGCAUGCGGAUUAAUUCGAUGCAACGCGUAGAACCUUACCUGGGUUUGACAUGGAUCGGGAGUGCUCAGAGAUGGGUGUGCCUCUUUUGGGGUCGGUUCACAGGUGGUGCAUGCCUGUCGUCAGCUCGUGUCGUGAGAUGUUGGGUUAAGUCCCGCAACGAGCGCAACCCUUGUUCACUGUUGCCAGCACGUUAUGGUGGGGACUCAGUGGAGACCGCCGGGGUCAACUCGGAGGAAGGUGGGGAUGACGUCAAGUCCUCAUGCCCCUUAUGUCCAGGGCUUCACGCAUGCUACAAUGGCUGGUACAGAGAGUGGCGAGCCUGUGAGGGUGAGCGAAUCUCGGAAAGCCGGUCUCAGUUCGGAUUGGGGUCUGCAACUCGACCUCAUGAAGUCGGAGUCGCUAGUAAUCGCAGAUCAGCAACGCUGCGGUGAAUACGUUCCCGGG